rnacentral:rRNA from 1 species
AAUAGCGGAGGAAAAGAAACUAACAAGGAUUCCCCUAGUAACGGCGAGUGAAGCGGGAAGAGCUCAAAUUUGAAAUCUGGUGGCCUCAGGUCAUCCGAGUUGUAAUCUAUAGAAGUGUUUUCCGUGCUGGCUCAUGUACAAGUCCCUUGGAACAGGGCGUCAUAGAGGGUGAGAAUCCCGUCCUUGACAUGAACUACCAGUGCUCUGUGAUACAUUUUCAACGAGUCGAGUUGUUUGGGAAUGCAGCUCAAAAUGGGUGGUAAAUUCCAUCUAAAGCUAAAUAUUGGCGAGAGACCGAUAGCGAACAAGUACCGUGAGGGAAAGAUGAAAAGCACUUUGGAAAGAGAGUUAAACAGUAUGUGAAAUUGUUGAAAGGGAAACGAUUGAAGUCAGUCGUGCUCUUUGGAUUCAGCCGGUUCUGCCGGUGUACUUCCUUUGAGUGGGGUCAACAUCAGUUUUGAUCGCUGGAUAAAGGCUGGAGGAACGUAGUACCCUCGGGUAAACUUAUAGCCUCCUGUCACAUACAGUGGUUGGGACUGAGGAACGCAGCACGCCUUUAUGGCCGGGAUUCGUCCACGUACGUGCUUAGGAUGUUGACAUAAUGGCUUUAAACGACCCGUCUUG